UUUUAGUUUCAAACAGUGAACUUUAUUUUAACCAGUGCAGUAGUGACGACAGUAGAACCGAUGCUUAACGGGUUAGGAAGAAAGGGAAUACCUUUACCAAUUUCUGAUCACAUACAUCUGCAAAACACGACUGUUGACUUAAUAGAGAACGCCAUUGUCAUAGGAAGUGAUGGCAGAUACAAUAAAACAGUGGAUUAAAUCAUUCCAUGGAUAGAUUGAAAAAAAAA